GAAUAAUUGGUAAGAAACAAUUUUAAUUUUUAAUUUAAAAAUUGUAAAUAAAAAUUUUGAAAAACCAUGAAUGAUUGGGGCUCAUAAAAUCAAAAGCACUGCUGAUGCUGUUAAUGAAAUUCUGGACGAUUCAGUAUAAGCUGAAAGUGGCAAAAGUAAUUGAAGAAGAUCAGAGUGCUUGAUAUAUUCCAUGUAUGUAUUAGCAAGCUUGCAAAGUUCAUCAACUGUCAAAGGUGGAUAUGAAUGAUUUUUUGUCUGUAUCUGUUAGUAAUCUGGUAAUAAUAGCUAAAAUUAAGGUGUUCUUUAUUGAGCUAAUCAAACAUAUAGCCAAUAACUUUGACACCGUGUACUACAACAAUAAUUUCAAAACGGUAAAAAGAGUUUAUGCUAAAAAGCAUGCUUAUAAACCAGCAUGUAUUGUGAGUACUACGACGUACUUGUUAAACUCGAAAAGCACUGCAGAAUGAAAAUUCACUCGGGCGAACAGUUACCGGAUGUAAAGUGAAUCUUAAUUACAGUAGCUUAGUCAAAAAUUUAGCUCAAUCACUUGCUGGUCUUAAAACACAAAAUAAAGUAUAAUCAAAUGCCGAAAAAUUAUUGAAAAAAAUAAUUAGGCGUUCAGCGGUUGACAGCACGACACUAGAAACUCAAUAAAAAAAAACGAGUGCAAUGUUUAGAAGGAACGAUCCGAAUUCAAUAAGCAUAAAAAACAAUUGAAAUAAGCGCAUGUCAUGUUGCUGAGACAAUACAUGAUAGCUGAUGACAGAUGGAGUUCAAGACCGAUCGCAGGAGAAUAUGUAUUUACUCAACAUUACCUUUACCAUUAUACCAGUGAACGAUGUAGUAUGGAAGAUUACGUUCAAAUAACCAAAGCGCAAAUUCUGCCGAUAAUAGAAGAGGAUAAAUAAAAAAAAAAAAAAAUAAAAAGAAGCAAGAAAGUGCAAAAGGAACACUACUACAAGCAGAGUAUAGCAAAUAUACUGUAAUUUUUAUCACCACAAGUCGUAAAUUUGUAUAAAUAUAAUGAAACUCAAAGCAAUUGAUAAAAUCAGGUAAGUACGAACUUGAAUACAAAAUAGUUAUUGAGGGAAAAAAUUAUCAAAAGUAUAGUGAAACGAUUUUCAUCACUAGAACUUGAAAUUCGUGGUAAGAUUGGAACCAUGAACAGGUAAAUAAUUUAUAAAAAUUAUAAAAAAGGAAAUAGAUAAAAGACUAAAAAAUUAGGAAGUUAAAUCAAAAUAAUUAAACACAUAACUUUUACUUAGGAAAUAGAGCUUUUAUUUAUAAAAAAAUUAAAAUUGUGUCAAUUUAUAUGUAAUAUGGAACCCGCUUGAUGGCUUUGCUGUAGGGUUCAUUAAACUGAUGAAUAA